rnacentral:rRNA from 1 species
UUAAGCGACUAAGCGUACACGGUGGAUGCCCUGGCAGUCAGAGGCGAUGAAGGACGUGCUAAUCUGCGAUAAGCGUCGGUAAGGUGAUAUGAACCGUUAUAACCGGCGAUUUCCGAAUGGGGAAACCCAGUGUGUUUCGACACACUAUCAUUAACUGAAUCCAUAGGUUAAUGAGGCGAACCGGGGGAACUGAAACAUCUAAGUACCCCGAGGAAAAGAAAUCAACCGAGAUUCCCCCAGUAGCGGCGAGCGAACGGGGAGGAGCCCAGAGCCUGAAUCAGUGUGUGUGUUAGUGGAAGCGUCUGGAAAGGCGCGCGAUACAGGGUGACAGCCCCGUACACAAAAAUGCACAUGCUGUGAGCUCGAUGAGUAGGGCGGGACACGUGGUAUCCUGUCUGAAUAUGGGGGGACCAUCCUCCAAGGCUAAAUACUCCUGACUGACCGAUAGUGAACCAGUACCGUGAGGGAAAGGCGAAAAGAACCCCGGCGAGGGGAGUGAAAAAGAACCUGAAACCGUGUACGUACAAGCAGUGGGAGCCUCUUUUAUGGGGUGACUGCGUACCUUUUGUAUAAUGGGUCAGCGACUUAUAUUCUGUAGCAAGGUUAACCGAAUAGGGGAGCCGAAGGGAAACCGAGUCUUAACUGGGCGUUAAGUUGCAGGGUAUAGACCCGAAACCCGGUGAUCUAGCCAUGGGCAGGUUGAAGGUUGGGUAACACUAACUGGAGGACCGAACCGACUAAUGUUGAAAAAUUAGCGGAUGACUUGUGGCUGGGGGUGAAAGGCCAAUCAAACCGGGAGAUAGCUGGUUCUCCCCGAAAGCUAUUUAGGUAGCGCCUCGUGAAUUCAUCUCCGGGGGUAGAGCACUGUUUCGGCAAGGGGGUCAUCCCGACUUACCAACCCGAUGCAAACUGCGAAUACCGGAGAAUGUUAUCACGGGAGACACACGGCGGGUGCUAACGUCCGUCGUGAAGAGGGAAACAACCCAGACCGCCAGCUAAGGUCCCAAAGUCAUGGUUAAGUGGGAAACGAUGUGGGAAGGCCCAGACAGCCAGGAUGUUGGCUUAGAAGCAGCCAUCAUUUAAAGAAAGCGUAAUAGCUCACUGGUCGAGUCGGCCUGCGCGGAAGAUGUAACGGGGCUAAACCAUGCACCGAAGCUGCGGCAGCGAGGCUUAUGCGUUGUUGGGUAGGGGAGCGUUCUGUAAGCCUGUGAAGGUGUGCUGUGAGGCAUGCUGGAGGUAUCAGAAGUGCGAAUGCUGACAUAAGUAACGAUAAAGCGGGUGAAAAGCCCGCUCGCCGGAAGACCAAGGGUUCCUGUCCAACGUUAAUCGGGGCAGGGUGAGUCGACCCCUAAGGCGAGGCCGAAAGGCGUAGUCGAUGGGAAACAGGUUAAUAUUCCUGUACUUGGUGUUACUGCGAAGGGGAGACGGAGAAGGCUAUGUUGGCCGGGCGACGGUUGUCCCGGUUUAAGCGUGUAGGCUGGUUUUCCAGGCAAAUCCGGAAAAUCAAGGCUGAGGCGUGAUGACGAGGCACUACGGUGCUGAAGCAACAAAUGCCCUGCUUCCAGGAAAAGCCUCUAAGCAUCAGGUAACAUCAAAUCGUACCCCAAACCGACACAGGUGGUCAGGUAGAGAAUACCAAGGCGCUUGAGAGAACUCGGGUGAAGGAACUAGGCAAAAUGGUGCCGUAACUUCGGGAGAAGGCACGCUGAUAUGUAGGUGAAGCGACUUGCUCGUGGAGCUGAAAUCAGUCGAAGAUACCAGCUGGCUGCAACUGUUUAUUAAAAACACAGCACUGUGCAAACACGAAAGUGGACGUAUACGGUGUGACGCCUGCCCGGUGCCGGAAGGUUAAUUGAUGGGGUCAGCGCAAGCGAAGCUCUUGAUCGAAGCCCCGGUAAACGGCGGCCGUAACUAUAACGGUCCUAAGGUAGCGAAAUUCCUUGUCGGGUAAGUUCCGACCUGCACGAAUGGCGUAAUGAUGGCCAGGCUGUCUCCACCCGAGACUCAGUGAAAUUGAACUCGCUGUGAAGAUGCAGUGUACCCGCGGCAAGACGGAAAGACCCCGUGAACCUUUACUAUAGCUUGACACUGAACAUUGAGCCUUGAUGUGUAGGAUAGGUGGGAGGCUUUGAAGUGUGGACGCCAGUCUGCAUGGAGCCGACCUUGAAAUACCACCCUUUAAUGUUUGAUGUUCUAACGUUGACCCGUAAUCCGGGUUGCGGACAGUGUCUGGUGGGUAGUUUGACUGGGGCGGUCUCCUCCUAAAGAGUAACGGAGGAGCACGAAGGUUGGCUAAUCCUGGUCGGACAUCAGGAGGUUAGUGCAAUGGCAUAAGCCAGCUUGACUGCGAGCGUGACGGCGCGAGCAGGUGCGAAAGCAGGUCAUAGUGAUCCGGUGGUUCUGAAUGGAAGGGCCAUCGCUCAACGGAUAAAAGGUACUCCGGGGAUAACAGGCUGAUACCGCCCAAGAGUUCAUAUCGACGGCGGUGUUUGGCACCUCGAUGUCGGCUCAUCACAUCCUGGGGCUGAAGUAGGUCCCAAGGGUAUGGCUGUUCGCCAUUUAAAGUGGUACGCGAGCUGGGUUUAGAACGUCGUGAGACAGUUCGGUCCCUAUCUGCCGUGGGCGCUGGAGAACUGAGGGGGGCUGCUCCUAGUACGAGAGGACCGGAGUGGACGCAUCACUGGUGUUCGGGUUGUCAUGCCAAUGGCACUGCCCGGUAGCUAAAUGCGGAAGAGAUAAGUGCUGAAAGCAUCUAAGCACGAAACUUGCCCCGAGAUGAGUUCUCCCUGACUCCUUGAGAGUCCUGAAGGAACGUUGAAGACGACGACGUUGAUAGGCCGGGUGUGUAAGCGCAGCGAUGCGUUGAGCUAACCGGUACUAAUGAACCGUGAGGCUUAACCUU